GUAAUCAUGGUUUUUUUUUUUUUUUGAGUGUAGAAGAAUUUAUUAGCAGUCUGUUUAAAGGUGCAUUUAAGAUGUUCCUUUAAUUCAUAAAAUAAUUACCAUUUCUUCACACUCAACAAAUCUAAUUUCCUCUAACUUUCUCAACUUCCAAUUGAUUAUGAAAUUAUCGGUGUUUUUUCCCCAAAAAAUAACUCAUUAAGGAUAGUAGAAAUAAAAUUGAUUACAUUAUUACACACUCAAAUUUGUGUCUCAAAGAAGAGUUUUUUUUUUUUCACAGCCUUCACAACCACAUUUCAUUUUUAUUCACAGGAAUGCUACACUGUCUGCUCUGAGCUUUAUUCGGAUUAUGUCAUGGAAGUUAGCAUUGUAUUAUCAUUAUUAUUGUUAUUUUGAGUGUUCGGUUUCUUGACCGGUGUUGUAUUUGGAUCCAGGGAGAAACGCAGGAAGUUCUCACUUAACUAAUCUUCUACUGGUUCUUGGAAACUGGGACAUUAAGUGAAAGGAUGUAACCAGUAUGACCACAGGCUAAUUGGUAUAAACAAGAGUUAAGUUCCCAUGGCCUAUUUCUGGUUACAAAGACAUCACCAAACUUCUAAACAAAGACUAAGACUCCACUACUUUUAAACAUUGAAAAUUUCCAGAAGAUGCAGGGGAAAAGAAAGAACAUUCAGCAACAAAAGGUCACUCUCAGACACAAAUACUCAAUGAAUGCUGGUAUUAUUUCACGUCCACACUACGAUCUUCGGCGAUUUCAUUUCCUUCCAUCAGCUUUUGUUCUAACGUGGAAGCGAAAGUGAACACUUGGCACGGGAAAUGUGAGGCGACCUGCAGGGCAGGUGGCUGAGAGCUGGAGAAAUACUCUUCUCCUUGGAGCGGCGUGCUGGGGAGACUCUGGUGACAUCACACGCUUGUUAAACAGCCGGUGAACUCAAAAUAGAAGACAUUUCCAUGGAGCAGAAGCCAAGAGAGAAACAUUAGCGCUGAAUAAGGUUGGAUAUGCAUCACUGUGGGCAGUUGCUAAGAGUGAUGAGGCUGUCAGAGUUGGAGUUUACUCCUUUCUUCCCUUCAUCUAGAUCCAGUAUGGCCUUUAUUAGAAAAGGAGCAUCCUAAAGCAAGGAGGAGCAGGGGAAGAGUCAAAACUCAAGAAAUGGUGUUGAAAGAAGGAAGAACUAGAAGUUGUGACUUUCCAACUCAAGUGUUCUGUUCAACCUCUGCGGCAGCCUCAACCUCAGAAAAAUGGUGCCAGGCAAAACCACACCCUCCUUAGUUCAAGGAGAGAGACAGGAGAGUUCAGGACUGGAAAUGAAGCAAGAAAAUUUACAGUAUGAGGAACCCAGACUGGUCCUGUGGCUGUCCUGGCGAUGAAGCUCUGGAUCUAUUGAUCAUGGGUGAAAUUAUACUCAAAAAAUAAAGAUCCAUCCAGAGAGUGACAGCUCUCAUCCUUCCAAGUCAUCUCAAGGCGGAAAACUUCACUGUGAUAACCCUUCCUCAUGUGCCCCGAUUUCAAGUGCCUUCAUCAUCUGAGUCACACUCUUGUCAUGUUCCAAAUCAUACAACUUUCCAAACACCACAUCAUGACUUUUAAAAGAAGUUAAUUCUGGCAGAAAUGCAAAAAAAAAAAAAAAAGAAAAAAGAAUUACCAGGGAAGGUACUCAGGCUGCAACUGCUGGUUAUGGCACAAGUGAGUGAUUCGUAAAAUAGUACAGUUGUGAGUAAAUCCAUGAUGAUUUUACUUACAGAAUCAGAGGAAGGAAUGGUAUCAGAGGAUCAAUGGAUAUUUAUUGGAUAGAUGGAUGGAUGGAAGGAAGGAAGGAAGUAUAGAUGGAAGGAAA